UACGAAGGGAGCUAGCGUUGUUCGGAAUUACUGGGCGUAAAGGGCGCGUAGGCGGUUAGACAAGUCAGGCGUGAAAGCCCCGGGCUCAACCCGGGAAUAGCGCUUGAGACUGUCUUUCUAAGAGUACGGGAGAGGUAAGUGGAAUUCCCAGUGUAGCAGUGAAAUGCGUAGAUAUUGGGAAGAACACCAGUGGCGAAGGCGGCUUACUGGACCGUGACUGACGCUGAGGCGCGAAAAGCGUGGGGA
rnacentral:rRNA from 1 species